AAAUGUAUUUCUUGAAUAUUCAGUCAUCAGUUUCAUUGGUGUAAUUUCCACAACAUUUUUUGUUGAAGGGUGAAGAGGAAUAUCCUACAUCAGAAAAGUCACUUAAACAUCUCACAGUGAUUUCAGCUUGCUGAGGCCACCACUACCGACACUGGUAGGCUUUUACUGAAAGACCACACAUCUGACUUUUAACAAGCAUUAGUGGCAGAAUCAUCAGCCAAUCAAAUGUUUGAUGACAGGACGCCCUCUGGGCCCUGCAACGUGACCUGUGCUACUUGCUAACUUUCCUCAUGAACUUCCUCGGUGUGAGGGUGAACUUGAGUGAAAAGAAAAUGGCAGCUGCGCUCAUCGCUACAGCAGAUCUUGUUGCCGAUCUACUGAAAAUGAUUUUUAACGCGCCCCUUUGGAGACAACGGAGAAAUAACUGAGAAGGGAAGACCUACACCCAAACUGGAUUCAUUAACAAAGGCCUGUAAAAGUUUUGUGCGCCAUUUUAAAGAUUGCAACUCGGAGCGCUGUGAGUGGCUAACCGCUAGCACCGAGCACAACAAGCUACAGCCUCCGUGGAACCCUCGUUUUCGCUUCUCAAGCGGAUAAAAACCCACGCAAGGAACACGACGUCCACAAUCAAGGCUGUCUCCUUUGGCGUCUCUCUCUUGAGACAGAAUACAACGCAUGGAACUCAUGUACAAGUGCAGGUCCAGGUGCCUGGCAGCUGGCUCAGGAAGGUAGCCCAGACGUCCUUCUCCCCAGACGUUCCCGGGCCAACCCACAUGGGACAUGUAAUGCCUGAUCCAGGUCUGCGCCCACCUGGCCCCGCUCAGGAACCCUAUAAGAGGAGGCAUUCUUAUCAUAUGCCCAAACAAGCUCAACUGGUUCCUUUCAACGUAAAAAGGCCAUACUUUGAGCUUCCAUCUGAGAUCUGAGAUUUCUAAAGGGGGGUCAAACUCUUGGGUACCACUACAGGUAAGAGUGAAAUGUUUCAGUUGGGUUAACCAGCCCUUUAAGAUGAUGAAGAUUUCAAAUGACUGAGUAGUUAAUUUGAGAAAACCUGGUUAACUAAUGCUUAAUAAAAAUAAAAAUACCCUGAUGAUGUCACACCUAGAAAGUUU